rnacentral:rRNA from 1 species
AAAUGGCCGCAGUAUUUUAACUGUGCAAAGGUAGCAUAAUCAUUAGUCUUUUAAUUGAAGGCUUGUAUGAAUGGUUGGACGAGAUAUUAACUGUUUCAUAAAAAUUGAAUUAGAAUUUUAUUUUUUAGUUAAAAAGCUAAAAUUUUUUUAAAAGACGAGAAGACCCUAUAGAUCUUUAUAUUUUAUGUAUUAUAAUUAUUUAGAUUAUUUGAUUUAUGAUUAUAUAAAAUAUUUUGUUGGGGUGACAUUAAAAUUUAAUUAACUUUUAAUUAAUAUUUACAUUAAUUUAUGAUGUUUUGAUCCAUUAAUAAUGAUUAAAAAUUUAAGUUACCUUAGGGAUAACAGCGUAAUUUUUUUGGAGAGUUCAUAUCGAUAAAAAAGAUUGCGACCUCGAUGUUGGAUUAAGAUAUAAUUUUGGGUGCAGCAAUUCAAUUAUUAAGUC